GAAAGUUUCCGCGCCCUCCGGAACGGAACGCCUCGCUGGGCGCCCGGCAGGCGAGCGGCAGCUCCCCGGGGGGCGGCGGUCCCCCCUCGGCCUGUCCCUCCGUCGCCCCCGGGGUCCCGCGCGGGCCCGCUGGCGGGGUCACGCUCCACCCGCAGGCGCUGGGGACCGGAGGCCGCGCCCGCGCAUCCCUCGGCGGCGCCGCCGGUGGCUUUGAAGCGCGCGCGGAGCGGACGCGGGCAGGGCCUUCUCCGCCCUCCUUCCGGGCCCCGCGGCCACCCUCGGGCGCUCGCGGGGCCCGUCUGCAAAGCCUCGCGCCCUGCAAGUCCCGGCUCGGCGGGCCCCGUCCUCCCAAGCCCCGCCCCGGCCGGUGACCCGGGCCGAGCGGCGGCGCGCAAGCCCCGGGCCCCCCGGGCCCCAGGGAGGCAGGAGCCCCGACAACAAUGAGGAGAGGCGGACGGAGCCCCGGCCUCCCUGCAGCCCGGGGAGAGCAAAGGCCAACGCGCGCCUGGACGCCCGCGCGGGCCUCCCUCUCUGGCCGCCGUGCACUUUCACUCCCUGCCACCGAGGGCUUUGCAUCCCUUCGAGGCUUUCUGCACUUCACGUGGAAUCCCCUGUUUCAUUUGCCAGCAGCUCCGUCUGCUGAGAGGGACGUACUUUGGGGACUGCCAAGAAGCAGCAGACACAACUCGGCGCUGCCAAUACAGCAUACGGUUUUGUUCUCUCCUCCCUCCCCACCCCCUCCCUCGCCGCGCCGUCUGGGCCGAGCGGGAGGAGGCGGAGCUGGAGGUGGGGAGGACGGUGGGGGUGGCGGGAGCCCGGCGCCGAACAAACAAGUUCUCGGGCGACUUGUUUACAUAGCAGGUGGACCUGACGUCAGCCAGGAGGCUCCGCCGCGGAGCCCGGCGACAUCCCCGCCCCGCCUCGCGUCGAGAAGUUGGGGGCACCGGGGGGAGCGAGGGAGGGGAGGGGGGGCGCCAGCAUUCAGGCCGGCCGCUUCCAAAAGCACUUUGGGGGAGCGACGACGACCACCGGCACCAACGAGGCAAAGUGAAACCAAACAAACAAGUGGCCCAGCCGCACUUCGGGAGUCCUCGGCGGCGCCCCCUCCCCCCGCCCCUCGCGGGAGAGGCGGCCCCGCGCGCCGCGUGUGUACAGUGCGCAGCGCCAACAACACGCGCGCGCGCGGCCCGGAGCGCGCACCCGCCGGCGCACACACUCACACACAUAGACACACAUACGGACCCGCACACAGAUCCGGGUGGGGGGGGCGGGGUGGGGGAGCGGCAGCGCGAGACAGCGCGAGCCUCCGAGAAAGCGCGAGACACGCCGGCGCGUGCAGCUCCGCGGCGGCCGCUGCGCCCCGGCUCCAGCCCCGCGAGCGCCCGGCCCGGGUAUUUAUGCGGCGGCCGCGUCCGCCGGCUGCGGCUUCCUCCGGGCCCCCCCCUCCUCCCCCGGGGCGCGCACCACCGCCCCCCUGCACGCGCACACACACACACACACACACACACACACACUCGCGGCAGCAGCUGCCGGGACUCGCUCGUGGGUGUGUGUGGUUUGGGGGCUCCUGCCUCGGCGCGGCGGGUGCCACCUCCCGGGACGCUGGCCAGGCGUCCCAGGUCGCGAUCAAACAAAUAAUAGAAGUCUGUUGA
rnacentral:lncRNA from 1 species